GAAAGGCUGCGUUUCCGGCCCGUGGGGCUCCAAUCAAAAUGGGACGCCUGCCGGCGGUAACGACAGGCCGGGGCCGCCCCCCGAAGUAGGGCGUGUGGCGUCACUUCCGGCUUCCUUCAGUCCGCUGGUCCCGAGCACGAGCUGUGAGGGGAUUCACUUGUGUGCGGAACUCCUCGGAACCAUGGCGUCCCUUUCCCUUGCACCUGUUAACAUCUUUAAGGCAGGAGCUGAUGAAGAGAGAGCAGAGACAGCUCGUCUGACUUCUUUUAUUGGUGCCAUCGCCAUUGGAGACUUGGUAAAGAGCACCUUGGGACCCAAAGGCAUGGACAAAAUUCUUCUAAGCAGUGGACGAGAUGCCUCUCUUAUGGUAACUAAUGAUGGUGCCACUAUUCUAAAAAACAUUGGUGUUGACAAUCCAGCAGCUAAAGUUUUAGUUGAUAUGUCAAGGGUUCAAGAUGAUGAAGUUGGUGAUGGCACUACCUCUGUUACCGUUUUAGCAGCAGAAUUAUUAAGGGAAGCAGAAUCUUUAAUUGCAAAAAAGAUUCAUCCACAGACCAUCAUAGCGGGUUGGAGAGAAGCCACGAAGGCUGCAAGAGAGGCGCUGUUGAGUUCUGCAGUUGAUCAUGGUUCCGAUGAAGUUAAAUUCCGUCAAGAUUUAAUGAAUAUUGCGGGCACAACAUUAUCCUCAAAACUUCUUACUCAUCACAAAGACCACUUUACAAAGUUAGCUGUAGAAGCAGUUCUCAGACUGAAAGGCUCUGGCAACCUGGAGGCAAUUCAUAUUAUCAAGAAGCUAGGAGGAAGUUUGGCAGAUUCCUAUUUAGAUGAAGGCUUCCUGUUGGAUAAAAAAAUUGGAGUAAAUCAACCAAAACGAAUUGAAAAUGCUAAAAUUCUUAUUGCAAAUACUGGUAUGGAUACAGACAAAAUAAAGAUAUUUGGUUCCCGGGUAAGAGUUGACUCUACAGCAAAGGUUGCAGAAAUAGAACAUGCGGAAAAGGAAAAAAUGAAGGAGAAGGUUGAACGUAUUCUUAAGCAUGGAAUAAAUUGCUUUAUUAACAGGCAAUUAAUUUAUAAUUAUCCUGAACAGCUCUUUGGUGCUGCUGGUGUCAUGGCUAUUGAGCAUGCAGAUUUUGCAGGUGUGGAACGCCUAGCUCUUGUCACAGGUGGUGAAAUUGCCUCUACCUUUGAUCACCCAGAACUGGUGAAGCUUGGAAGUUGCAAACUUAUCGAGGAAGUCAUGAUUGGAGAAGACAAACUCAUUCACUUUUCUGGGGUUGCCCUUGGUGAGGCUUGUACCAUUGUUUUGCGUGGUGCCACUCAACAAAUUUUAGAUGAAGCAGAAAGAUCAUUGCAUGAUGCUCUUUGUGUUCUUGCGCAAACUGUAAAGGACUCUAGAACAGUUUAUGGAGGAGGCUGUUCUGAGAUGUUGAUGGCUCAUGCUGUGACACAGCUUGCCAAUAGAACACCAGGCAAAGAAGCUGUUGCAAUGGAGUCUUAUGCUAAAGCACUGAGAAUGAUAUGAGGGAAGGCACCAUUGGAGAUAUGGCUAUCCUGGGUAUAACAGAAAGUUUUCAAGUGAAGCGACAGGUUCUUCUGAGUGCAGCUGAAGCAGCAGAGGUGAUUCUGCGUGUGGACAACAUCAUCAAAGCGGCACCCAGGAAACGUGUCCCUGAUCACCACCCCUGUUAAGCAUUCCCACGUGCUGUCGAUCUUUGGACCAGUUUCUAGCAAAGUUGUGUUUGAAAGAUACUCUAUUAAAGAAGACUGUGGAAUCUGUUUAUCGGUGCCCAUUAUAUCCUUAAGUUUGGAUAUUUAGCUGACCUUCUCUUUAACAUAGGUCUAAUUUAUUUGCUGUGUCAUUUUCCAUACAAAUCAGUUGAUUUAAAAAAGUUCAUUUCUCAUACUGUGCAUUAAAAUAAAAAUUUGAACAAUUA